CGCGUCGCCCCCGACCACKCCUCCCUCAUGGGAAUGGCUUGUGUCGGGGGCGGAGACUGGUCUCCCGUGCCCCAUGGUGUGGUUGGCCUAAAAAGGAGUCCCCUUUGACGGACGCACGGCUAGUGGUGGUUGUCAAGGCCUUCGUAACGAGUCGUGUGGAUGCAAAGGGAUCGCUCUAAAAAGACCCCAACGUGCUGUC
rnacentral:misc_RNA from 1 species